rnacentral:tmRNA from 1 species
GGGGUUGACUGGACUUGACAGCGGGUAGAGACGGUAUGUAAGCAUGCAGUGCGCUGGUGGCUAGCACUAUAAUCUGGAGACCAAAAAUUUAACUGGCGAAAACAACUACGCUCUCGCUGCCUAAUCGAAGUACAGUAGAUAGGCUUGAUCUCGGCACCAGGUGCUGAGACGGGACUUCUCCCAAGCGCCCAUGCCCUGAGGCUACUUGAUACGGAGGAGCAGAUAAAUCGGGGAUAGUCUUGUUUGGCCUCGCAAACAGGAUGAGAUUUAGAGGAUAAGGUCGCGGUUGGAUGGCUCAGGUCUUGCUUCGACUCGAAAAUUUAAACUGCAGCUAAGCAUGUAGAAAGCCUAUUGGCUCCUCGUUUGGACGAGGGUUCGAAUCCCUCCAGCUCCACCC